AAGUGGGGAUGACGUCAAGUCCUCAUGGCCCUUAUGUCCAGGGCUACACACGUGCUACAAUGGCCGGUACAAAGGGCUGCAAUACCGCAAGGUGGAGCGAACCCCAAAAAGCCGGUCUCAGUUCGGAUUGGAGUCUGCAACUCGACUCCAUGAAGUUGGAAUCGCUAGUAAUCGCGGACCAGCAUGCCGCGGUGAAUACGUUCCCGGGCCUU
rnacentral:rRNA from 1 species